CUUGUUAACAGUGUUCCCGCUGGGCUUGUGAUGUUCCCUGAUGGUCAAGUAACGCACUUCCAGCUUCUGCAAUGGCGGUUGUCAUUCAUUGGCUGCGACCAUUAGCUGACUGCUCUCGGGCCAAUGGCUGACAUUCUGUGAAAUGAAAGUUGCACAAAAUUGACAUUAGCCAGCCCAGAACUCUAGUUUUGAUCUGGCUGAUGACACCCGUAUGACGCUGCCAGAGGUGGAGUUACCCCUACUAAGUGGGCAGCUUAAUGGUUAAUCUCUGCAUGUGCAGCAUUUCAAACUCCUGGCACCAUGACCACU